GACGAACGCUGGCGGCGUGCUUAACACAUGCAAGUCGAACGAAGAGCGAUGGAAGCUUGCUUCUAUCAAUCUUAGUGGCGAACGGGUGAGUAACGCGUAAUCAACCUGCCCUUCAGAGGGGGACAACAGUUGGAAACGACUGCUAAUACCGCAUACGAUCUAAUCUCGGCAUCGAGGAUAGAUGAAAGGUGGCCUCUACAUGUAAGCUAUCACUGAAGGAGGGGAUUGCGUCUGAUUAGCUAGUUGGAGGGGUAACGGCCCACCAAGGCGAUGAUCAGUAGCCGGUCUGAGAGGAUGAACGGCCACAUUGGGACUGAGACACGGCCCAGACUCCUACGGGAAGCAGCAGUGGGGAAUCUUCCGCAAUGGACGAAAGUCUGACGGAGCAACGCCGCGUGAGUGAUGACGGCCUUCGGGUUGUAAAGCUCUGUUAAUCGGGACGAAAGGCCUUCUUGCGAAUAGUGAGAAGGAUUGACGGUACCGGAAUAGAAAGCCACGGCUAACUACGUG
rnacentral:rRNA from 1 species